rnacentral:rRNA from 1 species
UGGGGAAUAUUGCACAAUGGGCGCAAGCCUGAUGCAGCAACGCCGCGUGAACGAUGAAGGUCUUCGGAUCGUAAAGUUCUGUUGCAGGGGAAGAUACUGACGGUACCCUGUGAGGAAGCCCCGGCUAACUACGUGCCAGCAGCCGCGGUAAUACGUAGGGGGCUAGCGUUAUCCGGAUUUACUGGGCGUAAAGGGUGCGUAGGUGGUCUUUCAAGUCGGUGGUUAAAGGCUACGGCUCAACCGUAGUUAGCCUCCGAAACUGGAAGACUUGAGUGCAGGAGAGGAAAGUGGAAUUCCCAGUGUAGCGGUGAAAUGCGUAGAUAUUGGGAGGAACGCCAGUAGCGAAGGCGGCUUUCUGGACUGCAACUGACACUGAGGCACGAAAGCGUGGGUAGCAAACAGG